rnacentral:rRNA from 1 species
AGAGUUUGAUCCUGGCUCAGGACGAACGCUGGCGGCGUGCUUAACACAUGCAAGUCAAGGAGAACGAAUCCUUCGGGAUACUAUUAAACUGGCGAACGGGUGAGUAACACGUAGGCAACCUACCUCAGAGAUUGGGAUAACUUCGGGAAACCGGAGCUAAUACCGAAUAAUGCAGCGGAUCCUUCGGGAUAUGUUGUUAAAGUGGGCUUCGGCUCACACUUUGAGAUGGGCCUGCGUCCGAUUAGCUUGUUGGUGAGGUAAUGGCUUACCAAGGCGAUGAUCGGUAGCUGGUCUGAGAGGAUGAUCAGCCACACUGGGAUUGAGAUACGGCCCAGACUCCUACGGGAGGCAGCAGUGGGGAAUUUUGCGCAAUGGACGAAAGUCUGACGCAGCAACGCCGCGUGAUCGAUGAAGCUUCUAGGAGUGUAAAGAUCUGUCGUGAGGGAAGAAAAAUCUGGAUGUAAAUAAUGUUCAGACGUGACGGUACCUCACAAGAAAGCACCGGCUAACUUCGUGCCAGCAGCCGCGGUAAUACGAGGGGUGCUAGCGUUGUCCGGAAUUACUGGGCGUAAAGGGUUCGUAGGCGUCUUGCCAAGUUGAUCGUUACAGCCACCGGCUUAACCGGUGAUCUGCGAUCAAAACUGGUAAGAUAGAAUAUGUGAGGGGAAUGUGGAAUUCCUGGUGUAGCGGUGACAUGCGUAGAUAUCAGGAGGAACACCAAUGGCGAAGGCAGCAUUCUGGCACAAUAUUGACGCUGAGGAACGAAAGCGUGGGGAGCGAACAGGAUUAGAUACCCUGGUAGUCCACGCCGUAAACGAUGAGUACUUGGUGGUGGGGGAUUCGACCCCUUCACUAUCGGAGCUAACGCGUUAAGUACUCCGCCUGGGGACUACGGCCGCAAGGCUGAAACUCAAAGGAAUUGACGGGGACCCGCACAAGCGGUGGAACAUGUGGUUUAAUUCGAUGCAACGCGAAGAACCUUACCUGGGCUUGACAUGUUCAUGAAAGCUCU